rnacentral:rRNA from 1 species
GAUGAACGCUGGCGGCGCGCCUAAUACAUGCCAGUCGAGCGAACAGACGAGGAGCUUGCUCCUCUGACGUUAGCGGCGGACGGGUGAGUAACACGUGGAUAACUUACCUAUAAGACUGGGAUAACUUCGGGAAACCGGAGCUAAUACCGGAUAACAUGUUGAACCGCAUGGUUCAACAGUGAAAGACGGUUUUGCUGUCACUUAUAGAUGGAUCCGCGUCGCAUUAGCUAGUUGGUAAGGUAACGGCUUACCAAGGCAACGAUGCGUAGCCGACCUGAGAGGGUGAUCGGCCACACUGGAACUGAGACACGGUCCAGACUCCUACGGGAGGCAGCAGUAGGGAAUCUUCCGCAAUGGGCGAAAGCCUGACGGAGCAACGCCGCGUGAGUGAAGAAGGUCUUCGGAUCGUAAAACUCUGUUAUUAGGGAAGAACAAAUGUGUAAGUAACUAUGCACGUCUUGACGGUACCUAAUCAGAAAGCCACGGCUAACUACGUG